rnacentral:tRNA from 1 species
GCGCCUGUAGCUCAGUGGAUUAGAGCGUCGGUCUUCGGAACCGCAGGUCGGGGGUUCGAGCCCCUCCAGGCGCACCA